rnacentral:rRNA from 1 species
UACGGAGGAUGCGAGCGUUAUCCGGAUUUAUUGGGUUUAAAGGGUGCGUAGGCGGCCUUUUAAGUCAGCGGUGAAAGUCUGUGGCUCAACCAUAGAAUUGCCGUUGAAACUGUCAGUCUUGAGUACCGGAGAGGUCAUCGGAAUUCCUUGUGUAGCGGUGAAAUGCGUAGAUAUAAGGAAGAACACCAGUGGCGAAGGCGGAUGACUGGACGGCAACUGACGGUGAGGCGCGAAAGCGUGGGGAGCAAACAGG